GGAUUAGAUACCCUGGUAGUCCACGCCGUAAACGAUGAGUGCUAGACGUUGGGGGGAACGCCUCUCAGUGUCGUCGCUAACGCAUUAAGCACUCCGCCUGGGGAGUACGGUCGCAAGAUUAAAACUCAAAGGAAUUGACGGGGACCCGCACAAGCGGUGGAGCAUGUGGUUUAAUUCGAAGCAACGCGAAGAACCUUACCGGCCCUUGACAUGUUAGGUUUCGACUUUCAGAGAUGAAAGUUUUCAGUUCGGCUGGGCUUAAUACAGGUGCUGCAUGGCUGUCGUCAGCUCGUGCUG
rnacentral:rRNA from 1 species